UACAGAAGACUGAUUCCCAUUGGCGGCAUUCUUGGUCCUCCGGUCUGACUCAAUAGCCCCAUCAGACCCACUCUCGCUAGACAAUUCCCCAGGCUCUCGGUCAACAGCCUUGACACUAAGCCCACUUUUCCUUAUUCCACCACCAUCACCAUCACUACUACCAGAAUCACUCCUGCUUGACCGGGACCUAUAACUGCCAUUUAUCAUAUCCCUUUCUUUUAUAUGCUCUCGGUCAACAGCUCUGACACCACUCCCAUUUGUCAAAUCCCUUUCCUUUACAUCCUUCUGUCUCAACCUACCCCUAUCUCGACCACUCCUGUCAUGAACUCGAUCCCUAUCAAAAUCCCGAUCCUCAGACCUAAUUCUUUCGUAAUCCCCCUUGGAGUAACCAAGCUUCCUCCGUGAAACCUCAAACUCAGCUUCACGCCCCCUAAAUUCAUUAUCCCUGUAACCACCAUGUCUUCCAGCAGCCAUGUAAACGUCUGUAUCAAAGAAAACCCUAAAUUCACCUAUAAACCCUAACCCUAAUUUCACAAAUAAAGUCGGCAAACCCAACAAACCCUAGCUCGAUGAAAAAUCGAGUUAUUUGAAAACUCAAUAGCAGAUCUGGUAAAAACUAAUCAAAAUAUAUAAAAAUCAAUUGAAAUUUUUUUCCCUAAUUUUUUUCCCCUUUUUAUCGAAUAGCUUGAAAAAUUCUAAGAUACGACAGAUAGAGACAGCGAAGAAGCGAAACCCCUAGGAAUUGAAGACUUUAGGGUAAAUUUACGCUCUUUUCCGGAACGUUGUAGCUGAGAUCGGAAUACUUACCGGCGAAUCGAAGCAACCAGACACGACGGCGGCGAUGAAGCUUUAAAAGAGAGCGAGGGAGAGAGAAUAUGCGAGUUGUAUUUGCAAAUUCCCAA
rnacentral:lncRNA from 1 species